ACUCUCAGUUCGGAUUGAAGUCUGCAACCCGACUUCAUGAAGCUGGAUUCGCUAGUAAUCGCGCAUCAGCCACGGCGCGGUGAAUACGUUCCCGGGCCUUGUACACACCGCCCGUCAAGCCAUGGGAGCCGGGGGUACCUGAAGUGCGUAACCGAACAAGGAGCGCCCUAGGGUAAAACUGGUGACUGGGGCUAAGUCGUAACAAGGUAAC
rnacentral:rRNA from 1 species